AACGAACGCUGGCGGCAUGCCUAACACAUGCAAGUCGAACGAGACCUUCGGGUCUAGUGGCGCACGGGUGCGUAACGCGUGGGAACCUGCCCUUAGGUUCGGAAUAACUCCCCGAAAGGGGCGCUAAUACCGGAUAAUGUCUUCGGACCAAAGAUUUAUCGCCUUUGGAUGGGCCCGCGUUGGAUUAGCUAGUUGGUAGGGUAAAAGCCUACCAAGGCGACGAUCCAUAGCUGGUCUGAGAGGAUGAUCAGCCACACUGGGACUGAGACACGGCCCAGACUCCUACGGGAGGCAGCAGUGGGGAAUAUUGGACAAUGGGCGAAAGCCUGAUCCAGCAAUGCCGCGUGAGUGAUGAAGGCCUUAGGGUUGUAAAGCUCUUUUACCCGGGAUGAUAAUGACAGUACCGGGAGAAUAAGCUCCGGCUAACUACGUG
rnacentral:rRNA from 1 species